rnacentral:sRNA from 1 species
UUCUCCCUAAAGUAUGUGGAAUUUUUUAAGUUAGCGCACGGCUCAGUCUGAGCCAUUCCCCUAUGCCUAGGACAAUUCGGAUUCGUCCUAGGCGUUUUUUC